rnacentral:rRNA from 1 species
UAAGAAGUUGAGUGGCGGACGGGUGAGUAACACGUGGGUAACCUGCCUAAAAGAAGGGGAUAACACUUGGAAACAGGUGCUAAUACCGUACAUCUCUAAGGAUCGCAUGAUUCUUAGAUGAAAGAUGGUUCUGCUAUCGCUUUUAGAUGGACCCGCGGCGUAUUAACUAGUUGGUGGGGUAACGGCCUACCAAGGUGAUGAUACGUAGCCGAACUGAGAGGUUGAUCGGCCACAUUGGGACUGAGACACGGCCCAAACUCCUACGGGAGGCAGCAGUAGGGAAUCUUCCACAAUGGACGCAAGUCUGAUGGAGCAACGCCGCGUGAGUGAAGAAGGUCUUCGGAUCGUAAAACUCUGUUGUUAGAGAAGAACACGAGUGAGAGUAACUGUUCAUUCGAUGACGGUAUCUAACCAGCAAGUCACGGCUAACUACGUGCCAGCAGCCGCGGUAAUACGUAGGUGGCAAGCGUUGUCCGGAUUUAUUGGGCGUAAAGGGAACGCAGGCGGUCUUUUAAGUCUGAUGUGAAAGCCUUCGGCUUAACCGGAGUAGUGCAUUGGAAACUGGAAGACUUGAGUGCAGAAGAGGAGAGUGGAACUCCAUGUGUAGCGGUGAAAUGCGUAGAUAUAUGGAAGAACACCAGUGGCGAAAGCGGCUCUCUGGUCUGUAACUGACGCUGAGGUUCGAAAGCGUGGGUAGCAAACAGGAUUAGAUACCCUGGUAGUCCACGCCGUAAACGAUGAAUGCUAGGUGUUGGAGGGUUUCCGCCCUUCAGUGCCGCAGCUAACGCAAUAAGCAUUCCG